AGUUUAGGAGAGAGUUGGAGGGAUUUAGAUUCAAAGGCUGGGGUGGUUUGCAUUGGAAAUAUGCUUGGAAUUUAUCGCAGCUGCUGAAAGUGGGAUCGCCUGGAGGUGCACAGAUUGUGGAAUUACAGCUGUUCUGUGGAACUGAGGAUCCUCUGGUGGCUCAGCUGUAAAGAAUCCGCCGGCAAUGCAGGAGCCACAGGAGAUGCAGGACCCUGACUGACACAGGUUCUGUGGCGACAGUGGCAUCUGUCUUGGCAGGUCACUUGCUGCCUGAAUCCUCAUUUUGCCAAACUGUACCUUCUCACUGGAUCUCAGGUGCUGAUGACUACAACCACGCUGGAGGAUCACUGUGCCCUUUUGGACUGAUCAUUUAACUGUAGACUACCUCCUUGGGCGCCAGCCCUGGAGCUGGAUUGGUUUCUCCCAGCUUUGUCCCUGCCCAGUCCUGACCUCAUUUCCCUCUGUACUUACCCAGUGUUGGAGUAUUAGCAUGCCUAAUAGAAGCAACACCUGCCC
ensembl:lncRNA